CACGUAGGCGGAUUUGUAAGUCAGGGGUGAAAUCCCGGGGCUCAACCUCGGAACUGCCUUUGAUACUGCAAAUCUCGAGUCCGGAAGAGGUGAGUGGAAUUCCUAGUGUAGAGGUGAAAUUCGUAGAUAUUAGGAAGAACACCAGUGGCGAAGGCGGCUCACUGGUCCGGUACUGACGCUGAGGUGCGAAAGCGUGGGGAGCAACA
rnacentral:rRNA from 1 species